UAUGCAUUCAGAGAAAAUAAAAAUAGUAAUUUCAAAAUUCCGUAUAGAAGCAAAAGAUAAAAAGGAGAUGGAAAGAAGAGGUGCAAUCCCGAAAAAGAACUUGCCUAAAGUCAGAGAGAAUAUAGAUGUGACCAAAGCAUGGGAAGAGAACCGUCCAGUACUGCCAAUUGGAACCAAAAUAUUAUAUGAAAAGCAAGAAAAAUUGGUCGAAAAAAUGGACAAUUCGAUGCAGGUGCUGGAUAAAGUAAUGACGAAGGCCACCGAGAUGAUGGAGAAUAUGGUGGAAGUCUCCCGUUUAAACUUAGAGAAAGAAAAAGUUAAACUUAGACGUUUAGAGGUAAGCAAUAAAGAUACCCAAAGUUCAGUAGAAAACAGGAAACAAACGGUUAAAGAACUAGAGGUAGAGUCUAAAAAGAGAAAAUUAAAUGAAAUAACAGUCUGUUCAGCCGAAAAAGAUAGAAGUUUAGAGACAAUGAAAAGAGCUAUAGAAUUGGAAUUGAACAGUCAAAGGUUGCAUAUUAGAAGAGAAUAUAAGCUGACGCAAAAAUCCAAUUUUGAUCUUUGGAUGGAUUAUUUAAAAUCUGAGUUAAUGAAUAACGAGUUGUUAGAUGUAAUAGAUUCAAACAUUGAAAGUCCAGAAUAUCUCUCCGAACUAAAAGUUGCUAAGAGAAAAAGUCUAGUUAGAGAUAUAAUAAUCAAUCAUUUAGAUGAAAACUAUCAUAAAAGGAUUCUACAUGAAAAAGAUCCGAAAGAAAUUUUGAAGAAAUUGAGAGGAUAUAAAAAGAGUGAAGUAAACGUUACUCAUGCAUCGGUACGAGCUAAACUCUAUCAAAUUAAAAUGAGAAAAGACGAAAAAGUAAGUGAUUUUUGUGAACGCUUCGAUUCAAUAAUUAGAGAAUAUGAAUCAUGUGAAGAUGCGGUACCCCUCGCAGAACAAGAGAUUAGAUCUGCACUUUAUCAGGCUGUGUCAAUUAAUGUACCAGAGCUGAGGAAUGUAGAUUUAAUUAGAAGACAAACUAAUCUUAAAGAAAUGAACAUAGAUGAAAUAAAGUCUUUUAUGAUGCAGUUAGAAGCAGAGACUAAAAACGAGAAUAAAGAAAGUUAGAGAAACCCGAAGUCAGGGUACAGAGGGCUGCUGCAGAAGAGAACAUGAAACAAGUGAAAUGCUACAGAUGCAACCGAAUGGGUCAUAUGGCAAAGGACUGUCCACUAAUAGAAUUUGGUGCCUGGUUUUGUUACUUCUGCCAGGAAGUACGAGGUCACAAGGGUGAUAAUUGUCCGAGUGCCGAAGCCCAGGCGAACAGAGCUAGAGGAAAAAGAUAAAGAGGAAACUUAGAGAGGACCCGUGGAUCGCUCGCCCAAAG